UACGGGGGGGGUAAGCGUUGUUCGGAAUUACUGGGCGUAAAGGGCUCGUAGGCGGCCAACUAAGUCAUACGUGAAAUCCCUCAGCUUAACUGGGGAACUGCGUGUGAUACUGGAUGGCUUGGAUUUGGGAGAGGGAUGCGGAAUUCCAGGUGUAGCGGUGAAAUGCGCAGAUAUCAGGAGGAACACCGAUGGCGAAGGCAGAUCUCUGGGCCGUAACUGACGCUGAGGAGCGAAAGCAUGGGGAGCGAACAGG
rnacentral:rRNA from 1 species